rnacentral:rRNA from 1 species
UACGUAGGGUGCAAGCGUUAAUCGGAAUUACUGGGCGUAAAGCGUGCGCAGGCGGUUUUGUAAGUCUGUCGUGAAAGCCCCGGGCUCAACCUGGGAAUUGCGAUGGAGACUGCAAGGCUUGAAUCUGGCAGAGGGGGGUAGAAUUCCACGUGUAGCAGUGAAAUGCGUAGAGAUGUGGGGGAACACCGAUGGCGAAGGCAGCCCCCUGGGUCAAGAUUGACGCUCAUGCACGAAAGCGUGGGGAGCGAACAGG